UACCUGGUUGAUCCUGCCAGUAGUCAUAUGCUUGUCUCAAAGACUAAGCCAUGCAUGUCUAAGUAUAAGUAUUAUACAGCGAAACUGCGAAUGGCUCAUUAAAACAGUUAUAGUUUAUUUGAUAAUCGAAUUUACAUGGAUAACCGUGGUAAUUCUAGAGCUAAUACAUGCUGGUAUGCCCGACUGUUGCGGAAGGGCGGUAUUUAUUAGAUAACAAAUCAAUAUUCCUCUGGUCUAUUGUGGUGAAUCAUAAUAACUGAUCGAAUCGCAAGGCCUUUGGCCGCGAUAAGUCAUUCAAGUUUCUGCCCCAUCAGCUUUCGAUGGUAGUGUAUUGGACUACCAUGGCUUUUACGGGUAACGGAGGAUUAGGGUUCGAUUCCGGAGAGGGAGCCUGAGAAACGGCUACCACAUCUAAGGAAGGCAGCAGGCGCGUAAAUUACCCAAUCCUGAUUCAGGGAGGUAGUGACAAGAAAUAACGGACCGAGGUCUUACGGCUUCGGGAUUGCAAUGAGCCGAAUUUACACCCCUUAGCGAGAAUCGAUUGGAGGGCAAGUCUGGUGCCAGCAGCCGCGGUAAUUCCAGCUCCAAUAGC
rnacentral:rRNA from 1 species